GAGGAUGCGUUUUGGAGGCCACGGGGCGGCGGACGGGUAUAUAUAAUGGCGGGUGAGGAGACUGGUGCAUCAGAUUUUCUGGCACGCCGAGCGAUCAGAUAUGAAGUUCCUUGUUGUGGCAGCAGCGGUGGUGGCGUGCGCUGGCGCUCGCUCCAUCAACUCCGGUUGGGUCCUUCCGGCGGGCAACAUCGGCACCUCGGG